rnacentral:misc_RNA from 1 species
AAUAAAAAUAAAAUAAAAUAAUAAAUAAAAAAGAGAAGGAAGAAAGAUUUAAACCAAAAAAUAAAAAAGAAAAAGGAGGGAAAUCGUUCCCUUCUUCCAAUAUUGUUCUGGAAAUUACUUGUGUUGGUUUGAAUGUAUUUAGAAAAAUUACAGAUGAUGCUGAUUAAUUUUCCGACUUCUUAUAAUAAUUGUCCGAUUUCCAACACAGUUCUGCAGCAUAUAAAAUAUUUCAUCAGGUAACUUAUGAAUUAAAGAAUAGGAAUGCUACAGGUGUGUUCUCUAAAUGGGGGACUAUAUAAAAUCAUUGAACAAACUUUUGCUAGUAGAAUAAAUCAAAUAAAUAUAUCAACCCAAAAAAAAAAUGAACAUGACCUUUGACUGCCUCAAAUGGACCCACCAGGUUUCUUUUCUUCUGUUGCUUACAAUGCUCUUAAGGGGUGUAUACAUUCGUCCUCUGAAGCUUUCAGUCAUGGAAGUCAGUCUGUGCAUCACAGCUUGAACAACAAGUAAGACAUUCAAGUUUUGCUUGGAAUUCUAUGGUCACUGUACUGUACUUGAGUUACUAGGGCCUAGCAAAUCAUCACAAUUUGUUCCCUCGCAAAGACACUCUUGAGGGUUUGCAUAAAAA